CCUACGGGAGGCAGCAGUGGGGAAUAUUGGGCAAUGGGCGCAAGCCUGACCCAGCAACGCCGCGUGCAGGAAGAAGGCUUUCGGGGUGUAAACUUCUUUUCUCAGGGACGAAGAACGUGACGGUACCUGAGGAAUAAGCCACGGCUAACUACGUGCCAGCAGCCGCGGUACUACGUAGGUGGCAAGCGGUAUCCGGAUGUACGGGGUGUAAAGGGCGUGUAGGCGGGACUGCAAGUCAGAUGUGAAAAGCACGGGCUCAACCUGUGGCCUGCAUUUGAAACUGUAGUUAUUGAGUACUGGAGAGGCAGACGGAAUUGCUAGUGUAGCGGUGAAAUGCGUAGAUAUUAGGAAGAACACCAGUGGCGAAGGCGGUCUGCUGGACAGCAACUGACGCUGAGGCGCGAAAGCGUGGGGAGCAAACAGGAUUAGAUACCCGUGUAGUC
rnacentral:rRNA from 1 species